rnacentral:snoRNA from 1 species
AGGUCACUUCAUAGGGCUUGUGGGACAGCAAAACCAAGAGCUCCUUAUGCUAUGGCCAAAUACUAAAGUCCUCCAUGGGAUGUGAGAGCCAGUAGGAAGUGCAAGA